GCAUAUCAAUAAGCGGAGGAAAAGAAACCAACCGGGAUUGCCUUAGUAACGGCGAGUGAAGCGGCAAAAGCUCAAAUUUGAAAUCUGGUACCUUCGGUGCCCGAGUUGUAAUUUGGAGAGGGCAACUUUGGGGCCGUUCCUUGUCUAUGUUCCUUGGAACAGGACGUCAUAGAGGGUGAGAAUCCCGUGUGGCGAGGAGUGCGGUUCUUUGUAAAGUGCCUUCGAAGAGUCGAGUUGUUUGGGAAUGCAGCUCUAAGUGGGUGGUAAAUUCCAUCUAAAGCUAAAUAUUGGCGAGAGACCGAUAGCGAACAAGUACAGUGAUGGAAAGAUGAAAAGAACUUUGAAAAGAGAGUGAAAAAGUACGUGAAAUUGUUGAAAGGGAAGGGCAUUUGAUCAGACAUGGUGUUUUGUGCCCUCUGCUCCUUGUGGGUAGGGGAAUCUCGCAUUUCACUGGGCCAGCAUCAGUUUUGGUGGCAGGAUAAAUCCAUAGGAAUGUAGCUUGCCUCGGUAAGUAUUAUAGCCUGUGGGAAUACUGCCAGCUGGGACUGAGGACUGCGACGUAAGUCAAGGAUGCUGGCAUAAUGGUUAUAUGCCGCCCGUCU
rnacentral:rRNA from 1 species